rnacentral:tRNA from 1 species
CGGGGCGUAGCACAGCGGUAGUGCGCUCGGUUCGGGACCGAGAGGCCGCAGGUUCGAUCCCUGUCGCCCCGA